rnacentral:rRNA from 1 species
GAUGAACGCUGGCGGCGUGCCUAAUACAUGCAAGUCGAGCGAACAGACGAUGAGCUUGCUCCUCUGACGUUAGCGGCGGACGGGUGAGUAACACGUGGAUAACCUACCUAUAAGACUGGGAUAACUUCGGGAAACCGGAGCUAAUACCGGAUAAUAUAUUGAACCGCAUGGUUCAAGAGUGAAAGGCGGUUUUGCUGUCACUUAUAGAUGGAUCCGCGCCGCAUUAGCUAGUUGGUAAGGUAACGGCUUACCAAGGCGACGAUGCGUAGCCGACCUGAGAGGGUGAUCGGCCACACUGGAACUGAGACACGGUCCAGACUCCUACGGGAGGCAGCAGUAGGGAAUCUUCCGCAAUGGGCGAAAGCCUGACGGAGCAAAGCCGCGUGAGUGAUGAAGGUCUUCGGAUCGUAAAACUCUGUUAUUAGGGAAGAACAAAUGUGUAAGUAACUAUGCACGUCUUGACGGUACCUAAUCAGAAAGCCACGGCUAACUACGUG